GAUGAACGCUGGCGGCGUGGAUAAGGCAUGCAAGUCAAACGGGUUCGCCCCGCAAGGGGUGGACCAGUGGCGAACGAGUUAGUAACACCUUGGUACGUACCCGAAAGUCAGGCAUAACUAUCCGAAAGGUUAGCUAAUUCCUGAUAGUAAGGCAACUUUAAAGUCGCAAGACGCUUUCGGAGCGGCCUAUGUCCUAUCAGCUUGUUGGUGAGGUAACGGCUCACCAAGGCAACGACGGGUAGGGGAUGUGAGAGCAUGAUCCCCAACGACGGUACUGAGACACGGACCGUACACCUACGGGUGGCAGCAGUCAAGAACAUUCGACAAUGGGCGAAAGCCUGAUCGAGCGACGCCGCGUGCAGGAAGAAGGGCUUCGGCCUGUGAGCGGCUUUUAUUAGGGAAAAAUUUUGAUUGUACCUAUUGAAUAAGGGGUUGCUAACCUCGUGCCAGCAGCAGCGGUAAUACGAGGACCCCGAGCGUUAUCCGGAAUUACUGGGCGUAAAGCGCGAGCAGCCGGCUCUGUUAGUCAGAUGUUAAAUCCCAUGGCUCAACUGUGGGGCCGCAUUUGAAACGGCAUAGCUGGAGCGGCUGAGAGGCACAUGGAACGUGAGGUGUAGGGGUGAAAUCCAUUGAUAUCUCACGGAACACCAAAAGCGAAGGCAGUGUGCUGGCGGUCUGCUGACGGUCAAUCGCGAAAGCGUGGGGAUCAAAAAGGAUUAGAUACCCUUGUAGUCCACGCCCUAAACUAUGCUGACUAGCUAUUGGGAGCAUCGACCCUUCCAGUGGCGAAGCUAACGCGUUAAGUCAGUCGCCUGGGAAGUACGAGCGCAAGCUUAAAACUCAAAGGAAUAGGCGGGAAUUCGCACAAGCAGUGGAUCAUGUGGUUCAAUUCGAUUCUAACCGAGGAACCUCACCAGGGCUUGAAAUCCAGAUGCAUGCUCUAGAAACAGAGCAGCCUUCGAGGGUUCUGGACAGGUGCUGCACGGCUGUCGUCAGCUCGUCAUGUGAAUGGUUUCCUUAAGUGGAUUAACGAGCGCAACCCCUACUGUCUGUUAUAUUUGUCAGGCGGGACUGCUCCGGUAACGGAGAGGAAGGUGGGGACGACGUCAAGUCAGCGUGGCCCUUUGAUGCCCUGGGCUACACACAUGAUACAAUGGACGUUACAAUGGGUUGCCAAGUCGCGAGGCGGAGCUAAUCCCAUCAAAAGCGUCCUCAGUUCGGAUUGGAGGCUGCAACUUGCCUCCAUGAAGCCGGAAUUGCUAGUAAUCGCAGAUCAGAACGCUGCGGUGAAUACGUUCUCGAAUUUUGCACUCACUGCCCGUCACUCCAAGGGAGCUGGUAAUACCCGAAGACCCGUAUUUUUAUAUGGAGCCACGGUAAGAUCAGUAAC
rnacentral:rRNA from 1 species